GCAUUGCCCCUGACAAAACCGGGGCAAAGGUGUGCUCUUAGGAAAGAGCCUUUCGAGGAGAAGGUUCCCCAGGUGAAACGAUUGUGUGUCCACACUUGGAAUUCUUCGUGCGGCGUGCAGCCGAAAUUGAGCUGCGGUGUUGCGCCCACCCGCUUCACAGAAUCGCGGAAUCGUUAGGGUUGGAAGGGACCUCUGGACAUAGAGUCCUGGAGUCAUCAGGGUUCGAAAAGACCUUUAUUAUCAUCAAGUCUAACCAUAAACCCAGCACUACCACUGUAACCCUUAAACCACUAAACCACAUCACUCAGCGCCACAUCCAGACGCCUCUUAAACACUUCCAGGGACGGUGACUCCACCAUCUCCCUGGGCGACAUAUUCCAAUGCCUGACGACCCUAACAGUGAAAAUUGUUUUCUAAUACCUAAUCUGAAUCUCCCCUGUGAUGAUCUUCAUGUCAUCUAUUCCAAGGCAGGGUCACCUAGAGCAGGUGACAGGAAUGCAUCCAGGUGGGUUUUGAGUGUCUCCAGAGAGGGAGGCUCCACAAGCUCCCAGGGCAGCCUGUUCCAGUCCUCUACCACCCUCAAUGUACAGAAGUUGUUCCUCGAAUUGAAGCAGAACCUCUUGUUCAGUUUAUGGCCACUGCUCCUCGUCAUAUUGCUGGACACCACCAAAAAGAGGCUGUCACUGUCCUCUUCACAUGCUCUUGAGAUAUUUAUAUGCAUUAAUGAGAUCCCCUCUCACAGUCUUCUCUAGACUGAACAGGUCCAGCUCCCUUAGUCUUGCCUCAUAAGAGGUGCUCCAACCCCUUAAUCAUUUUUGUGGCCCUUCUCUGGACCCUCUCCAAUAAUUCCUUGUCUUUCAUCAUAUAAUUAGUGCUUUUAUGGAGAUUGAGCACAUACUGAGGCAAUCAUUCUGAAUUAAGUAUGAGAGCAGCCAACAUCAAGGGUGUUUAUAAGUUUUCUGACAUGUCAUACCACAAAUUCAUCAGAAGGUGGGGUAGUUGUACUUCUGAUUUUUAAACGUUUUCAAGUAUGUGAACAAUUAAGCAUUUUUUUUAAUAAUUACUGAGAAGUUAUCACUUCAAUAUUGAUUAACAGAAUGGAUCUGGACUUGCAUAACUAAUGCAAUUAUAAGGACACGUUUUCAUUUUUAGCAUAAAGAAAGAACUCUGAAACAAUGGGAAGGAAUUUAUUUAGAAUUAAAGGCAUCAUAACAGCAAAAUCGUGUUCUUUACAUACUGUAAAAAAGGCCAUCAUGUUGCUAGUUUUUUGUGCAUUUUGAAACAAUAGUGCAGUAAAAUACAAAUUUUUUUGUAGUACUUUGAGUUUAAUACUGGGUAUACCAGACUUGAAAUUGUAAACAUUCCACGAGCAAGAGGAAAAUAACAAAGUACAUUUAUUUUAAAGUGUGGUGUUGUAUAUACACUUGAAAUAUUCCAGAGAAGUACGUACCAAAAUGGUCUGAUGGUGCAAGUCUAAGUCAGCUAGCUCAACAAAGUUCAAACUAUACAUUGAUAGGAAGGCUUUAUGAGGUGGAGGAAAGAAGUGCAAGUUUUAGCCCAUCUCUUUAAGUUCCUGGGCUUGUUCUAAGGAAGCAAAUUUAUGUUGUCAUGGAUACUCAGGGUGCAAUCUGAAAAACAAUUCAGUAAACAAGUGGAGAACAGAGAGGAGAAAGCACCGUCAAACAAGGAUGCUGAACCUACAAUUGGAUGACACCCUCUGCUGUAUGGCAGAGGAGUUGUGUGGCACCACCCAGAGGAACCAAAAGUCUGGAAAAGCUGCUCCUCCACUUCCAUCUCUGAUGCAUUGAAUCAUCAGUUCCAGAAAAACAUUGUGUGUGUCCAGAGAAAGGCAACAAAGCUGGUGAAGGGUUUGGAGAGUAAGUCAUAUGGAGAGCAGCUAGGGGAGCUGGGGUUGUUUAGCCUGGAGAAAAGGAGACUGAGGGGAGAUCUUGUCACUCUCUACAAUGACCUGAAAGGAGGUUGUAGCCAGGUGGGGACCAGCCUCUUCUCUCAGGCAACUAGUGACAGAAUGAGAAGACAUACUCUAAAGCUGCACCAGGGGAGGUUCAGGUUGGACAUCAAGAAGAAUUUCUUCACAGAAAGGGUUGUCAAGCAUUGGAAUGGGCUGCCCAGGGAGGUGGUGAAGUCACCAUCCCUAGAGGUGUUCAAGAAAUGACUGAACGUGGCACUUAGUGCUACAGUUUAGUUGACAUGGUGAUCAGUCCAAGUUUGGACUUGAUGAUCUUGGAGGUCUUUUCCAACCUAAAUGAUUCUAUGACUCUAUGAUGAUUGUGGAAAGCAAGUUAAUUAGAAUGAGAGCGCCCUUUGAUUUCAUGGGUGCAAACAGGUAUCCACAAUGAAACAUAUGGAAGUAAAAGCUCAGUCACAACCUGGAGAGCUGUGAGCAAGAAGAGAUCCUACAGUUUAACACACUCUAAAUUAAAGUGCAACAGUUUUACUUUGUCAUCAUAGAGUGGAAGAAUGCUUAUCAGCUGCAAAUCUGUAAAUACAGACCUGCAGAGGUAGCUGAAAAUCCUAUCUGCUUUCAUAUUGAUACCUUUUCUGCAAGUCUGUGAGUUCCUUGGGCCUGUGACACAUUUAUGUCUGCAAUGCAAUCUGCAAAAGUAUUACAUACUUGUGACAUUUUAGGAAUACAUAGGAGACAUCAUGUUUGCAAUGAGCAGAACCCUUGGGAAUAGAGAAGCUUCCCAACAAAAUUUCGGAAGAAAAUGCAAGGCCAGCAAGGAACUGGCUAUGGCUUCCCAGAUUUCUGGACUUUUAUUUUCUAAUUUUCACCAGUUGGAAACAGUUGCUGAGCAACUCCUUCCUGUGUACUCUGGCUGCUUCUCAUGUGUGAUAACUUUCUUUAGGUUACCUAUAUAUCCUCUGUGCUAUGUGGUCUGGGAGGGUCAUCUGCCUUCUAUUUUGUGUUGAGAUGACUGGCUAAGCCCAUAAGAGUAGAACAGCGGAUGUUGUAUACCUUGAAUUUAGCAAGGGCUUUAGCAUUGUACCUAAUAUUUUUACAGCCAAACUGGUGAACCAUGGACUGGAUAAAUAGACAGUAAGAUGGGUGGAAAAUUAUCUGAACCAUUGAACUCUAAGGGUAGUGAUCACUGGUACAAAGCUGGUUAUGAGUGACUUGACCCAGAAAUUGAUGCCAACCAUGCUUGUUCUCAGUAACAACUUGGAUGACUGGAUCAAGUGUAUCCCUUGCCAGUUUGGAGAUAUAUGUAUUGGGAAGGGUGUUCAGUACACCGAAGUGCAGGGUUGCUGUUUGGGGAGCUUAGUCAGGCUCCAGAAAUGGGCUGUCAGGAACCACAUGAAAAUCGCCAAAGGCAAAUACGAAGUUCUGCAUGUGGGAUGGAAUAUGCCCAUGCAACAGGACAGGGCAGCACUGGCUGGCUAGGAAGCAGCUUUGUAGGAAAGGACCCAAGGCCCUUGUGGGCAGUCGGUUGCACAGUCACCAGUGUGCCUUUCUGGCAAAGAAGGGCAGCUGCAGCAUGGGCUGCACUGGGAGGAGGGUAGACAGCAGCUGGAGGGAAAUGGUGUUUUUUUCCUUCUAUCUGGUACUUUUGGCAUGACCUCAAAAGUGGUGUGUCCAGUUGUGGGCUCCCCAACACAGAAAAGACAUAGACAUAGUGGAGCGAGUGCAUCAGAGGGACAUUUUGAUGGGCUCUAGCACGUGAUGUGCAAGGAGAGACUGAGAGAUAUGUUCCGUCCUUCUCCCAGGCAACCAGCAAUAUGACAAGAGGGCACAGUCUUAAGCUGUGCCAGGGGAUGUUUACGCUGGACAUUAGGAAGAAGUUCUUUACCGAGAGAGUGAUUUGGCAUUGGAAUGGGCUGCCCAGGGAGGUGGUGGAGUCUCCGUCCCUGGAGGUAUUUAAGAAUAAACUGGACACGGCACUUAGUGCCAUGGUCUAAUAGACAAGCUUGGAGACUCAAUGAUCUCAGAGGUCUUUUCCAACCUAGUUGAUUCAGUGAUUCUGUGAUUCUGUCCUAAGAAGAAAAAGCUAAUGCUGUGAGGGGGGGAAACUUACUAUUCUAUGACUACCUAACCAGAGAGUGUUGAGGAGACAGAGGUGCAUUCUUCUCAGAGGAGCAGUGGAAGGACAAGAGGCUGUGACCAGAAGUUAGAGCAUGGGAAACCCAUCUCAGUGCAAGUGGAAAACCUUUGCCUUGAGAGUAUGCUGCAACAGGUUGCCGUUAUACUUGUGGAAUAUCUAUUCAAGGAGAUACUUUGUGCUGGUUUAAAAGUUUAAAUGAAAUGAACACGACUUGAGAGAUUGCAAGUCAGAGUUAAAAUUCACUAAAAAAUAUUACAAUAAAUAAAAUGAUACAGAGAAAACUGGUUUUAAUCUAUAAAUAUAGAUGUAUAACCCAGCACCCUGGGACAAGAACAGAAUGGUGUUUGUUAGCACCUGUGCUGAGAACCAUGUGACCCCCCUGGGUGCAAAGUAAAAGGAAAGGAAACUUGUUGGUUCAGAUGAUGGUGGCAGUUCUGUUGAGGUAAUGAUCACAGUCUUGUUGAGAGUGGCAGUCGCAGUCUCAUGGAAGUUCUGGUCCUCCUCUGGAUCUGACGAGUGGUACCAGAAGUCCCAAAACUGAAGAUGAUAUAUGCCCAGGUUCAGGUGGGAACGCCCAGUACCUCCCCCAGGGCAGAGAAAUUUACAACCAACGUUUUCACAGUUUUGGUUAUGCCCACAUAGUGAUAAAGUUGUCCUGGCCCCUGUAACUAGGACAUACUUGACACUUGACUAGCCACUGUCUUCAGCGUAUGGAUCUAAAUAGCCUACACUGAGUAGGACGUUGGUGUGUUUUCCCAUGGUUCCUUCCAAAUGACCUGAUUCUGUCUAAGGGAUUCAUUACAUGGUAGUCAUUGAAUGCAUAUGGACUGAUGCCACUAAGAGACAUCUAUCUCUCUUCAUUCCUAUUCUUGAAGUGGAAAGUACAGGUCAAUGGAUGUUUGUUUUUCAGUGGACAAUAUAAAAAUGAAACAAUUAAAAUGAAAGAAGAAGAAAUGAAUUUUGAAUUUUCAUUUAUAUAGUAUGUUACUUGAGUUUUGGAAGUGCAUGGACAAUAUUAUAUGUAUGUCAUCUUUGUGUCUUUUUGAUAUUUAAUUUCAUAACUUCUUUUUUUCCUCAUAAGAACUUUCUAGUAAUUGCGUUCACUUUCAUGUUGGAGAUAAUCACGCCAUGUAACUUUGCACACACCGAUAGUGAUCCAUCUGAAACCUAGACUUUUUGCUCCUACCGAUCUGUUGGUUUUUUUCUGUAGCUUCUGAUUCCCAGACUAACUGUAAUUAUGAUGACAAAGAUGAUGAUGUGUAUUCCUACUGCUGAGAGAAGUUUACUAGUAUUUUUUGAAGUCUCAUCUUCAGUGGAGAGGUGAAGUAAUUUCAUCGAAGCUAAGUUCUCUGGAGUCAGCAACUACACACAGAGAUAUAUACAGUUGUAUAUCUCAAGUGCUUUGAUUAACAGCUUAACAGUUUCCUACUUGAACUGAAGUCUCCUGGUGCUUUCCCACCCCACUACUAGCUAGAAAAUUUACAGGCUUUGAGAUUUCCCCCACUGGCAGUCCAGUAUUUGAAAGCUUAGAAGAGAAAGGUUUGUAUGCAGGUAGUAAUUAGUUAUGGGAUCAUUGUUCUCUCAGGCCAAUGCUCAGAGAGGAAAAAAAGACAAAAGACAAGACCAAGACAAAACCAGUGUGCAACAUAUACUCAAGUCUAAAGUCUGAUUUCAGAUAGGUUGACUGUUGCAUGUUAGUAAUGGAUCUGUUUCUAGCCUUUCUUAGUUUUUUCUCUUGUAAUGGUUUCCCCCCUGCCAAAGUUAUAUAUUUAUUUAUAGUAUCCAAUAAUUUUAUUCAGAAAUAAAUGGUAAAUGGUAGUUACAGAGACAUUAUAGUCUCACUAUGGGGUUAAAUACACAGACAGUUCUGGGUGAAGUUGUAUAAAUCAUAAGCGUGUACUCCAUCAACUUCCAUUUUUAUACCCAUAAGAUGAGGCAUUAGGAACAGUUUUUACCUUGUAAAAUGAAGAAAGAGAAACAAUAAGAAUUUAUUGCACCCCAUAAACAGAAGAAAAGAAAGGGAAUAGAAUUUAAGAAAUAAUAUGCUUACUCAAAACAAACCAGAGAUUAAUAUUAAAUAUAUACACUAUAUAUCCCAAGUAAUUCAGUGUAAUAAAUAACACAGAAAGAUUAUUGUAAAUCAUAAGACCUAGUUUAAUUUCCUCAUAUCGUUUUUUUAUGUAAGAUCAACCAGGCCUUAUAGGAAACCACAGAACGUAAUUUUGCAGUGCACUCUUUUGAACUGUGUUUGUGUAAGUAAAGACUGAAAUAAUAAUGUGUUGAAUGUUUCCCAUAUUACCAAAUGUUAUAGCAACCUUGCUGUUUGCGUAUAGAUUCUGCUAUAGCUGAGUCUUUUGCUGUCUCUGAGCUUCUUAAUGGUCAUGGUCUGCAGUAUUUGGUUUCCCUUCUUGACUCUAUGUUUUGAUAUGUCAAAAUUAUUAUUUUAGAUUACUAAACAGAAUUAGGAUUCAGUGGAAAAAUUUGUUAUUGACAUGUUGGAAACUAGGUGAGGUCUGUAAGCAUUGUCUCCUGCAGUAUGAUUUUGGAGUAUUUUCAAUAAACAUCUUACUAACAUUUUUGCCAGCAAGUUUUUAAUAAGCAUGAAAAUAUAUUAUCCUCUUACAUAUAACUGUAAAGAAAUACAGUAAUGUCAACUAUCUGAUCAGAACCUUAAGGCCAAAAAGGCCCAAAUUUGGAUGGAUUUUCAACGAAUGGUUUUUAAGGGCUGUCAUUUUUCUGUACUUACCUAUGACUUGUCAACAAAACUGUGUUAUAGAGCAUAAUUCAAGAACCAAAGCAAAACAGCUUUCACAG